UUACGGUCAAAUCACGCUGAAAACACCGGUUCUCGUUCGAUCACCGAAGUUAAGCAUCGUAGAGCCAGGUCAGUACUUAGAUGGGGGACCGCUUGGGAACACCUGGUAAUGUAAG